ensembl:lncRNA
UUUUUUUUUUUUUUUUUUUUUUUUGGUAGAAACGGGGUCUCCCUCGGUUGCCCAAGCUGGUUUCUGGUGCCCAAGGCGGGGCUCCCCGUAAUGUCUACAAAUAAUCCAGUGAAGGAACACCAGAGCGUGGAAAGCGGAGGACGACCGAAAAAGGACUUCCCAGUAGGUUUUCACUUCAAGCUCUAGGGUAAGUAGGGCGCUCGGAGAAUUCCAGGGAAACCUCCGGAAAAUGUGGGUCAGGCUGAGAGUAAGUUCGCGAAUUACUUAAGCCUUGUACCGCAGUUACUGCGCCGGGGAGGGGUAAUUGUGAGUACCCCGAAUCUCACAUCUUUGUUCCAUCUGGUAGACAAGUAUUCUCCUUGGUUCCCGGAAUAUGGAACCGUCAAUGUAAAAGAUUGGGACAAGGUCGGAUCAGACUUAAAACGAGCACAAGAGGGCCGCGAUAUUCCCGUCUCUGCUUGGUCUGUAUGGUCGGCAGUUAAAACAGCACUGGAGCCCUUGCACACUGAGGAGGAGGAGGAGGAGUUCCAGGAUGACAUAGGAAAGUUGAAUAAUCAGGAGUCUAAUUAUCAGCUAAGUGAACCAUGACAGUCUCAUUUUAAAAAGGGCGAGAAACGGGAAGGUAUGUAUGCUAAUCUCCAAAAACGUAUAAAAGAAACAGUGCCACCUACUGCGCCUUUAGGGGAAGGUCUGGAAUGGCCGCUCCCAGGCCAGCCUUAGGAAUUUUUGGAAGGGGAGCCUGACAGGCGCCUUGGGGCUCCCAUUGUUGAAGGCCCCGCCAGUAACUAUGGUGAAGGGAAGCUUCAGGCUUGUCCAACAGCCAAUCAUGAUGAGGGAAUGAUCCAGGCUUGCCCAUCUGUUAAUUAUGGUAGAGGAAUGCUGCGAGCCGGUCCAAAUACAAAUGAUGACACAGGGACAAUCCAGGCAUCCAUUCGCCAGGCACAAGAAAUGGGGGAUUUGAAUGCUUGGCAGUUUCUGGCAAUUCUUUCGCCAGCUGAGGAGCCCAGAGAACUUGCUCAAGCAUGCUGGGAGCCAUUUCCUUUUAAAAUAUUAAAAGACUUAAAGCAAGCAAUUGGACAGAUGGGCCAAAUUCUCCUUAUGUUCAUUCCUUGUUACAAUGUGUGGCUUAUAACAGACGUUGAAUACCUACAGAUUGGAAGGCACUAGCCCGAUACACCCUGUCCCCCUCUGAAUUUCUCCAAUUUAAAACCUGGUGGAUGGAUGAAGCAACAAAUCAGGCACGCAGAAAUGCUCGAGCCCAACAUCCCGUUAAUACCACAUCUGAUCAAUCGCUUGGAAUCGGACAGGCAUGGGGUACUCUAAAUCAACAGAUGGUAAUGGGUGAUGAGGCUGUUGAUCAGCUCAGAACUACAUGCCUAAGAGCCUGGGAAAAGAAUUCACAACCCUGCUACUGCUUAUCCUUCUUUUAACACAGUUCAACAGGGUCCAAGGGAGCCUUAUCCAGAUUCUAUUGCCCGUUUGCAGGAUGCGGCUCAAAAGGCUAUUUCCGAUUCUCAUGACAAGAAAGUGAUCGUUCAGCUGCUUGCUCAUGAAAAUGCUAAUACAGAAGGUCAGGCAGCAAUUAGACCUAUUAAGGGAAAGGCAGAUCUAAAUGAGGGAAAAACUUUAAGUGAAUACAUUAAAGCCUGCGAUGGCAUUGGGGGGCACCUCACCCAUCGCGGGGGGUGCCUCAGCCCACUGCCAUGUGGAUGGUAACAGUGAGGAGGAGAGAGGGGGUUGCUAUUACUCCCCAUUACGAUGUGGAUCGUAAAAAUGACUCCCCCCUGCAAUGUGUGUCCAUUAUUAGCAGUCUUUUUAGUUCAGGAUAUUAGGAACAAUUUCACAGGUUGUGUGUACACAGCCUGCGAUAGGAGAACGAACACCAUCCUCUGCACCUCCGGAUAUUAGGAACCAUAUCACACAAUGGGUGUACACUUUUUGGGAGAUUUGGGGUAAUGUCGUCCUGUGUUUCCCUGAACAAUCAGAGACACAUCGCCGGGUGGCUGUACACCUGCUACUCUCGGCAGGAACAUCAUACUAC